rnacentral:misc_RNA from 1 species
UUUCCGUAGGUGAACCUGCGGAAGGAUCAUUAUUGUAUAACCGAGGUGCGAGGGCUGUCGCUGACCCGAAAGGUCGUGCACGCCCGAGUGCCCUCACUCACAUCCAUCUCACCCCUAUGUGCACCACCGCGUGGGUCCCCCUUUGGCUUGUUCGGCGGGGGGCUUACGUUUUCACACAAACUUUGUAUGCAGUGUAGAAUGUAUUUUUUGUUUUUGCGAUCACGCAAUCAAUACAACUUUCAACAACGGAUCUCUUGGCUCUC